UUUUUCCUUCCCGCCGUGCCCCGCGGCCGGGCCGGGGCAGCCGGGAAGCGGGUGGGGUGGUGUGUUACCCAGUAGCUCCUGGGACAUCGCUCGGGUACGCUCCACGCCGUCGCAGCCACUGCUGUGGUCGCCGGUCGGCCGAGGGGCCGCGAUACUGGUUGCCCGCGGUGUAAGCAGAAUUCGACGUGUAUCGCUGCCGUCAAGAUGGAGGGGCCUUUGUCCGUGUUCGGUGACCGCAGCACUGGGGAAACGAUCCGCUCCCAAAACGGAUGUAACCAUUACUAACGAUGGUGCAACCAUCCUGAAGUUACUGGAGGUAGAACAUCCUGCAGCUAAAGUUCUUUGUGAGCUGGCUGAUCUGCAAGACAAAGAAGUUGGAGAUGGAACUACUUCAGUGGGAAGCAGUGCGUUAUAUCAAUGAAAACCUAAUUGUUAACACAGAUGAACUGGGAAGAGAUUGCCUGAUUAAUGCUGCUAAGACAUCCAUGUCUUCCAAAAUCAUUGGAAUAAAUGGUGAUUUCUUUGCUAACAUGGUAGUAGAUGCUGUACUUGCUAUU
rnacentral:lncRNA from 1 species